rnacentral:misc_RNA from 1 species
GACUGACACUGAUCACAUACUGACUAUGUGAAUCGUAGCUUGAGAAGAGGAACAAAUCUAGCAUCUGAAACUGAGGGAAAAAACAAGCGCAUCAUAACUUAAAAAAAUGACCUCUCAUAAAUUACAUCUAGAAAUUAUGGAACGAAGGGAACGAAGAGAACGUGACCGUGAAAUAUUCAAAAUAAUUUCUUCAUUAAUAUUAUUUUUU